UACUGUGUGUGUGGUGUUGGAAUGGUUUUUAAGAGCUGGUUUUCCUUAGCAGUAGCACGGGCUGAUAAAGUGGAAAGUGAACUGCCUGCUGAUACACAGCUACCAGCACCGACCAUCCAGAAAAAUUAAAUCCACAGCCCAACUUCAGACUGAUAAGAACAAUAAAUUAAAACCAGAGCCAAGAGACAUGCACGCUCUAAAAAGGCAGACUCAAGGAGUGGCCAUGUAAAGCAGUUCCUGGAAUAUGGAAAAUAGUUUGUAGAAAAGUUUAGAGAUGCAUGAUGGGUCUAUGAAUAUGCAACGAGCUAAUAAAUUUAAGGGGUGUCUCCAAAACAGCAGUUCCAGUCGCCACGGACAGGAUGAAUUUCUCAGGGUGCCACCUGCAGGGAUGGGCACUGCAGCACCGUGAGAUGGGCAGCUGGGAGAGCCGGGGUGACACCACAGAGAGCAACAAAAUCGAGUCCUGGAUG